rnacentral:tRNA from 1 species
UCUUCAUUGGUCUAGUGGUCAUGAUUUCCGCUUGUCAAGAGUUAAACAUUCUCGUCAAGCGCGGGAGACCGGGGUUCGAUUCCCCGAUGGAGAG